rnacentral:lncRNA from 1 species
AGCGAUUCUUGUGCCUCAGCCUCCCAAGUAGCUGGGACUACAGGACAUUCAUGCUCAUGACAUCACAUGCUGAGAGGACAGGGAGGCCAGUGUGGGGCUGGCCUCGAAGAGAGGCGGCAUCAGUGCUACCAUUGAGAUGUCCCCACAAAAGAGUGUGUGACAGCCAGAUGUGCAGCUUAAUGGAGACUGAACCAGGAUUGUGGGUGGAACAUUGGCACAUGCUGCUUAUGGCUUGAAUAGCAGCUCUUGAGGAAUCUAUAUUUCUCUACCUCAUGCAGAAUCUUAGAGCUCUGGCUUUGUGGCUCCAUGGCUGGGGGAGGGAGUGGAGACGGAGGAACUUGUCACUGCUCCAUGCCCCAUUGUUGAAAUGGAAAAUGUGGAAAUGUUAAGCCGUUUCUAGAGGAUUGUGGAAGACUCAGGGUGACAAGAAGUGGAUUCUAAAGUGCUGAGGGCUCAGUGGGCCAGCCCAGGCCUGGAGUCUGAAUGAAGAGGCAUCAGUGUGCCGGAACUUCAUGACUGGGUUCAGUGCCAGACCUGCAGACGUUGAAAGUGAAUGUCAUCAUGAAGCCCACAUGGCUGGAUGGGUCAGGUUCUCCUCAGUUGUCACCUGUCCAGGGGCAGUCCAGUGAGAAAAGCUAGAAUGUGGAGUCCUGUCAUCAGAUGAUGUGACUACAUGGAAUGAGGACUAUAGCUGCUCUCUUAAAAACCUGCAGCCCCCUCUCUCAGCCCAGACAGUUGAGGUAUUUAUGCACCAUCAUAACAUUAACAGCAUCUUUGCUUUGGAAAGUGGGGGUUUAUGAUUUCUAGGGUAAAUCCUCGCCUUUGGGAGUGUGAAUGAGACAAGCGUAUCAGCAACUGCCAAGACCAAUCAAUAGAUGUGCAUGGAACAUUCUCUUCAUCCCCAAAUCAGAAUGAACACAGUCCUUUAAAGUCUGCACUGCAGGUGAAAUUCACAUGACUCACAAUUCCCUUUAGCCAAUGUUACCGAAGUCAGUGUCAAGAAAACUUAACAGAAAAAAAAAAAA